rnacentral:rRNA from 1 species
GAAUGCUGACAUAAGUAACGAUAAAGCGGGUGAAAAGCCCGCUCGCCGGAAGACCAAGGGUUCCUGUCCAACGUUAAUCGGGGCAGGGUGAGUCGACCCCUAAGGCGAGGCCGAAAGGCGUAGUCGAUGGGAAACGGGUUAAUAUUCCCGUACUUGGUGUUACUGCGAAGGGGGGACGGAGAAGGCUAUGUUGGCCGGGCGACGGUUGUCCCGGUUUAAGCGUGUAGGUGUGUGUUCCAGGUAAAUCCGGUUCACUUUAACACUGAGGCGUGACGACGAGGCACUACGGUGCUGAAGCAACAAAUGCCCUGCUUCCAGGAAAAGCCUCUAAGCAUCAGGUAACAUCAAAUCGUACCCCAAACCGACACAGGUGGUCAGGUAGAGAAUACCAAGGCGCUUGAGAGAACUCGGGUGAAGGAACUAGGCAAAAUGGUGCCGUAACUUCGGGAGAAGGCACGCUGACACGUAGGUGAAGUGAUUUACUCAUGGAGCUGAAGUCAGUCGAAGAUACCAGCUGGCUGCAACUGUUUAUUAAAAACACAGCACUGUGCAAACACGAAAGUGGACGUAUACGGUGUGACGCCUGCCCGGUGCCGGAAGGUUAAUUGAUGGGGUCAGCGCAAGCGAAGCUCCUGAUCGAAGCCCCGGUAAACGGCGGCCGUAACUAUAACGGUCCUAAGGUAGCGAAAUUCCUUGUCGGGUAAGUUCCGACCUGCACGAAUGGCGUAAUGAUGGCCAGGCUGUCUCCACCCGAGACUCAGUGAAAUUGAACUCGCUGUGAAGAUGCAGUGUACCCGCGGCAAGACGGAAAGACCCCGUGAACCUUUACUAUAGCUUGACACUGAACAUUGAGCCUUGAUGUGUAGGAUAGGUGGGAGGCUUUGAAGUGUGGACGCCAGUCUGCAUGGAGCCGACCUUGAAAUACCACCCUUUAAUGUUUGAUGUUCUAACGUGGACCCGUAAUCCGGGUUGCGGACAGUGUCUGGUGGGUAGUUUGACUGGGGCGGUCUCCUCCUAAAGAGUAACGGAGGAGCACGAAGGUUGGCUAAUCCUGGUCGGACAUCAGGAGGUUAGUGCAAUGGCAUAAGCCAGCUUGACUGCGAGCGUGACGGCGCGAGCAGGUGCGAAAGCAGGUCAUAGUGAUCCGGUGGUUCUGAAUGGAAGGGCCAUCGCUCAACGGAUAAAAGGUACUCCGGGGAUAACAGGCUGAUACCGCCCAAGAGUUCAUAUCGACGGCGGUGUUUGGCACCUCGAUGUCGGCUCAUCACAUCCUGGGGCUGAAGUAGGUCCCAAGGGUAUGGCUGUUCGCCAUUUAAAGUGGUACGCGAGCUGGGUUUAGAACGUCGUGAGACAGUUCGGUCCCUAUCUGCCGUGGGCGCUGGAGAACUGAGGGGGGCUGCUCCUAGUACGAGAGGACCGGAGUGGACGCAUCACUGGUGUUCGGGUUGUCAUGCCAAUGGCACUGCCCGGUAGCUACAUGCGGAAGAGAUAAGUGCUGAAAGCAUCUAAGCACGAAACUUGCCCCGAGAUGAGUUCUCCCUGAGACUUUAGGUCUCCUGAAGGAACGUUGAAGACGACGACGUUGAUAGGCCGGGUGUGUAAGCGCAGCGAUGCGUUG